rnacentral:rRNA from 1 species
AGAGCGAACGCUGGCGGCAGGCCUAACACAUGCAAGUCGAGCGCCCGUAGCAAUACGGGAGCGGCAGACGGGAUAGUAACACGUGGGAACGCGCCCUUCGGUUCGGAAUAACUCAGGGAAACUUGAGCUAAUACCGGAUACGCCCUUACGGGGAAAGAUUUAUUGCCGAAGGAACGGCCCGCGUCCGAUUAGCUAGUUGGUGAGGUAAUGGCUCACCCAGGCGACGAUCGGUAGCU